rnacentral:rRNA from 1 species
UACAGAGGUCUCAAGCGUUGUUCGGAUUCAUUGGGCGUAAAGAGCGCGCAGGCGGUCGUUCAAGUCGCGUGUGAAAGCCCCCGGCUCAACUGGGGAGGGUCACGCGAUACUGAUCGACUCGAAGGCAGGAGAGGGUAGUGGAAUUCCCGGUGUAGUGGUGAAAUGCGUAGAUAUCGGGAGGAACACCAGUGGCGAAGGCGACUACCUGGCCUGUUCUUGACGCUGAGGCGCGAAAGCUAGGGGAGCAAACGGG